rnacentral:lncRNA from 1 species
CCUGGCCUUUGGAAUAGGCAAUGUUGACAGACUGAGGGAACAUUUCUGCCAUUUCCCUGAAUGACAAUGCUCAGCAGGGACAUGGAAAGCAUAGGAACUCGUGGCUGAGAAAGCAGAACUAACAAGCUCAAGACCGUUAGUCCAGCCAUUAGGAAACCUUUACUACUAACCAGCGAAUGAUACAGAGAGAGAGAAAGUUGGGUUAACCCUGGGCUGGCCAAAAUACACCAGGUGAAGGCCAAGGCUUCUGUGGUCAAAGAACCUGCCCAAAGACACACCACUAUUGAACUCAGACCCUGCGAACUCUCCACCCUGCCUGGGAGUUGCUGAGCUGUCAGGCCAGGGGCUGUGCACGUGAGUGCAAGUAGACCUUGUCAUCAAGGUGGUAUUCAAUUGUGCUUUUAAAAAAUGCAAUAAACCCAUUAUUGUGAAGUUGAACAUUUUUCUCCAUAUCAUGCCAAGCCCUAAACUGCUCAGAGAUCUAAACAUACUUUCUUUUAAGUACCAGUGGGACAGUUUUUAAUCCUUGCCAGGGGACAUAUAACACCAUCUUGCAAGCUGGUGGCUGUAUCUCGAAGGCCCUGUAUGAAAUGAUAGUGACGUAGGGGUAGCUCAAGGAGGGGAUGGGAAUCCAAGUGAGACUGUACAGAUGAGCCCCUUCAAACCACGUGGCUCAGCACAGGCAGCAAGAGGACCCACAGUCUACUGCGAGCACAGUGAGAAGGCAAUCAAGUGUUUCUCACAGAUAACGAUAUCCGGCAUCUACAUAACACCCACUGCAUAGCAGUUACCAUUCUAAAUUCUCUACUUGCCUUGAGAUAUUUAAUCCUCACCUCUUCCCCAAGAAGUAAGUACUAUUGUUAUCUCCAUUCUUACAGAUGAGGAGACAGAAACUAAAAAGAUCAGGUGGGCUGAGCAAAGUCAUACAGGUAUUAGGCGCUGGAGCCAUAUCAGCUCAAGAGUUCAUCCUGGAAAUCAGUAUGCUACCAGGACUCUUUGAGCAUUUGUAGUGUACUAAUGCAUAUAAUCCUAGCAAUAAUCCUAGAAUGUGUCAUCAUUGCUAUUUAAAGAAGGGGAAACUGAGGCCUAGAAAUUUUCAAAAGGAAAGCAUUUUAGCUGAUCUUGACAUUAUCAACCAGAGUAAUAGCUAUCAUUGUAAUCAACAUUCACU